CCUACGGGUGGCAGCAGUGGGGAAUAUUGCGCAAUGGGCGAAAGCCUGACGCAGCGACGCCGCGUGAGGGAUGAAGGUCUUCGGAUCGUAAACCUCUGUCAGCAGGGAAGAACGGUCACUGUGCUAAUCAGCAGAGAAUUGACGGUACCUGCAAAGGAAGCACCGGCUAACUCCGUGCCAGCAGCCGCGGUAAUACGGAGGGUGCGAGCGUUAAGCGGAAUUACUGGGCGUAAAGCCCUCGGCGGCGGGAUAUCAAGUCAAGGGUGAAAUCCCCGCGCUCAACGUGGGAACUGCCUUUGAAACUGGCAAACUUGAGUGUGUGAGGGGAUAGUGGAAUUCCAGGUGUAGGAGUGGAAUCCGUAGAUAUCUGGAGGAACAUCAGUGGCGAAGGCGACUAUCUGGCACAUAACUGACGCUGAGGAGCGAAAGCGUGGGUAGCAAACAGGAUUAGAUACCCUAGUAGUC
rnacentral:rRNA from 1 species